GGUACGGCCCUAAACACACACAUACACACACACAAAAAGUAUGUUUACUGUCUACUUCCUCUAACUAGAAUAUGAGUUCCAUGGUAGCACUGGCUAGGGGUCCAAUCAGAGCUGUAGCUGCCAGCCUACACCAUAGCCAUGGCAAUGCCAGAUCCCCAAGCCACGUCUGUGACCUACACCACAGCUCAUGGCAACGCUGGAUCCUUAACCACUGAGCAAGCCCAGGGAUCGAACCCACAACCUCAUGGUUCCUAGUGGGAUUCGUUAACCACUGAGCCAUGUUGGGAACUCCCAGACUUUGUUUUGUUUACUUCUCUAUUCCUCAGUGAUUGGACCAGUGCCUAGCAUGUAAUAGACAUCCACUAAAUAUUUUCUGGAUGAAGGAAGGAGAGAAGGAAGAAAAGAAGGAGGGAAAGAUGAUUUCUUUGGAGCUUACAGGUUCAUCAAGACACGAUAAAAAGGGCUGGAGAAAAAAGACCUCAGCAUGAACUCUCUGAACAAAAGUUCACGGCAUAACCACCCUGCCCCAAUAACCUGAAACCCACAAAAACAUACAACAAAGGGAGAUGAUGAAAUGUACCUGUGGGGUGAAAAAGUAUACAGCCAUUAAAAACACUAAUUAUGAAGAUAGUAAAAUGUUAAUGGUAUGUUAAAGGAAAAUAGUAGACUGUGAAACAGAGCAGCUCUCAAUAUGUAAUUACUGUGUUGCCAUAAUCACGGCAAUGCAAAAUGUGUGCACAUUAAGUGAGCCGACAUUUAAAGCAAAACAAAUUAUUAUUAGGCCUAUUAGUGGGAUUAUGGGUGGUUUUGCGAUCUUUUUUUUUUUUUUUUUUCCUUCACAAUUAAAAAAAAACAAAUCUUGUAUACUUUUUUCCUUAAAAGGAACACGUGUUAACUCCCUGGGCACAUUGCCUGAGGAAAAUCCCAGCACAGUGAGGUCAGCACCCAAGUUCCCCCAGACACUCCUUUGCAAAGGCAGAGGGGUCCCAGGCCUGCCUGUGCAGAGGGCUGCCCCAGAGGCUGAAACCCAGUGAUUAAGAACCCCUGCUGGACCUGAAUAAAUACAAUGCCUUACAUACCAGAUGGACAACGUGGAUGCUGUUUUUCAUCUGCUGACAGUUAUCGCCGGGUUUUCCGGACGUGGACUGUCAGCCCGUGACUAAAGAAUAACCGGGGCGGGCCCGAGGGCGCGGCGAAGCCCUUGAGGUCUCUCAGGGUGAGCGCCCCUGGGUGGAGUUCCGAGGGGCCCGGGCGUAGGCGGCCGUCACCGCCGCGGCGAGCCGCGGAAUGUCCUGCCUGUGAGCUCCCUCGCCUGGACGCGAUGGAAGCCUGGCGGGGACCGGGGACCGCGCCGUCUUCCUGCCCGGGGGCGGGUGGGCGUAGUACCCGGCGCCGCGAUGGCGGUGGCGCUGUCGGGUCGCGCUCUCAACCCGCCCCGGGCUCCGGCGGGGUGGCGCCAGGCUGGAGGCCGUGGGAUUCCCGGACACCCUCCCCUUCCACAGUGGCUGGAGGAUUGAAGCCGAGACAGUGGCGAGAGGGGCGCACAGCCCAGCCCAUUCCCCAUCCCUGACGACUCCAGGACGAUCCCCUUCCCGGCUCCUUAUUCAUUCCCUGAGAUGCUCAAAGACCUGAUUUCCACUUUAACAUCCAAAUUUGGUGGGUUCUAGGAGGCCUGGGCUGGCUCAGUCCAGGGGCUGUUGACUCAUAUAACAACAGUAUCUGGCACACAGUAGGUAUGUGUGCAUCUGUUGAAUAAAUAAAAUAUUUGAACUGUGUCUGCUUCAACAAUACUUCAAUAGUGAGCUUGUUAGGAGUGGGUACAGUCACUGAUGUGCUGAGAAGGAUGGGGGGACGGUCGGGGAAGUGGGGGAUGGGGGGAAUACGUGGGCCCAGCGAGCAGCUUCUGAGUGAGCUGGAAAGUCAGCGCCCAGAAACGACCAGGGCACAGUGCCUGGGUGCCGCCGAAUUCCUCGCAGGAGGCCAGAACCACGAGUCAUGGGCCAUGGGUCACGUAAUUGGAAAGAGAGACGCUAAAGGGAGAACCCGAAGGAGACUGUCUCCACGUGACAGCUACAUAAAGGCUCAGCUCUACUGGGUACUAGAGACAUGCGAUCCCGGAAGCUGGAAGCCUCAGGAGACCUGGACAGAAGGAAGCCGGUCAAAAGGGUCCGAAAUCCUCCUGCAAAGACAGAGCAACACAUCCAUUCCAGCUCUCUCCCUCGAAUCCGGCCUAGUGUUAGGUAGCGAGCGCCCCUCCGCCCUGCCGCAAGCUUUCCUGGUCCUGUGAGACCACUGGCAGCCUGCAGGGGGCGAAAUGUCUCUUUGUACUAUUAGGGCUACGGCUGAAACCAGAGCCAAAAAUAGAA